rnacentral:tRNA from 23 species
GACUCCGUAGCUCAGUUGGUAGAGCAAUUGACUCUUAAUCAAUGGGUCGAGAGUUCGAGCCUCUCCGGGGUCA